rnacentral:ncRNA from 1 species
AGAUGUCUUCGUAGAGCCACGAAGACAUUAAAAUAAAGAAAGCUCGCUGAGA